ACUUGUUUUAAAUCUAGAUUGUGAUACCUCAUUCUUAAGUGUGAAUACAUUUUUUCUUAGUGUUGUUGUGAAAUAUUUUCCAGCUCACUACGCAUUUCAGUGGUACUUCAUUGUCCUCCUGUGCUGAGAUGAGACGGCACUCUAAUACCUGCAGCAUGAGCAUAAAGUUCUGCGACUGUGAUGUUUCUGAACAGCUGCAAAUGGAUGAUCCCAUCAGACAUGUCUGGAAGGUAUGUGAUGUCAUGUAUAAUUUGGUUAUUAUGAGCAUAGAUGGUAACCGUAGCAUUGCAGAAAUAAAAAUGCCAUUCAUUUUAUCCA